CCCCUCUCAGGGUUGCACCUGGAGAGUUUUCAGUACUCUACCAGUCAUGACUACAGGAGGAAGAGCUAAGCAGAGUCAUACUCAUUCCAUUCCUAGCUUGGGCAGUGGCUAGUAAGUGGAAGGCCAUCUGCUACAAGU